GAUGAACGCUGGCGGCGUGCCUAACACAUGCAAGUCGAGCGAACGGACGAGAAUCUUGCUUCUCUGAUGUUAGCGGCGGACGGGUGAGUAACACGUGGAUAACCUACCUAUAAGACUGGGAUAACUUCGGGAAACCUGAUCUAAUACCGGUUAAUAUUUUGAACCGCAUGGUUCAACAGUGAAAGACGGUCUUGCUGUCACUUAUAGAUGGAUCCGCGCUGCAUUAGCUAGUUGGUAAGGUAACGGCUUACCAAGGCAACGAUGCAUAGCCGACCUGAGAGGGUGAUCGGCCACACUGGAACUGAGACACGGUCCAGACUCCUACGGGAGGCAGCAGUAGGGAAUCUUCCGCAAUGGGCGAAAGCCUGACGGAGCAACGCCGCGUGAGUGAUGAAGGUCUUCGGAUCGUAAAGCACUGUUAUUAGGGAAGAACAUAUGUGUAAGUAACUGUGCACAUCUUGACGGUACCUAAUCAGAAAGCCACGGCUAACUACGUG
rnacentral:rRNA from 1 species